rnacentral:rRNA from 1 species
CCUACGGGUGGCAGCAGUGAGGAAUAUUGGUCAAUGGUCGUAAGACUGAACCAGCCAAGUAGCGUGCAGGAUGACGGCCCUAUGUGUUGUAAACUGCUUUUAUCCGGGGAUAAAAUCCGUCACGCGUCAUCUUAUGUAGGUACCUCAUGAAUAAGCAUCGGCUAAUUCCGUGCCAGCAGCCGCGGUAAUACGGAGGAUGCGGGCGUUAUCCGGAUUUAUUGGGUUUAAAGGGGGCGUAGGCCGCAUGUUAAGCGUGCGGUGAAAUGCCGUGGCUCAACCCUGGCACGGCGUUGGGAACUGGCUGUCUCGAGUUGGCGGGACGUAUGCGGAAUGCGUGGUGUAGCGGUGAAAUGCUUAGAUAUCGCGAAGAACUCCGAUUGCGAAGGCAGCAUGCGGCAGCCAUACUGACGCUGAGGCACGAAGGCGUGGGUAUCGAACAGGAUUAGAUACCCGGGUAGUC